GACGUAGGGAGCAAGCGUUGUCCGGAAUUACUGGGCGUAAAGCGUGCGUAGACGGUUACAUAAGUCGGGUGUGAAAGCCCCGGGCUCAACCUGGGAAUUGCAUUCGAGACUGCGUAGCUAGGGUGCGGAAGAGGGAAGCGGAAUUUCCGGUGUAGCGGUGAAAUGCGUAGAUAUCGGAAGGAACACCAGUGGCGAAAGCGGCUUCCUGGUCCAGCACCGACGUUCAGGCACGAAAGCGUGGGGAGCAAACAGG
rnacentral:rRNA from 1 species